UUAAGUCGGGGCCUAAGGCGAGGUCGAAAGACGUAGUCGAUGGAUAACAGGUUGAAAUUCCUGUACUAUCCUGUAACAGAACUGUGGGGACACAGGCAGAGAGCGUGAGCCGGGAAUGGAAAGACCGGUACAAGCGAGGUAGGAGAAGAGUUGGCAAAUCCGCUCUUUAAUCUGAAGACGUGAUGUGGACUGAAAAUAAGUAGGGAAGCACGUGAGCUGACUGUCAAGAAAAGCCGCUAUUGUUUGCAGGAUACCCGUACCGUAAACCGACACAGGUGGAUGAGGAGAGAAUCCUAAGGCCGACGGGAGAAGCAUUGUUAAGGAACUCGGCAAAAUGACUCCGUAACUUCGGGAGAAGGAGUGCCAGUAAGAUGGCCGCAGAGAAUUGGCCCAAGCAACUGUUUAGCAAAAACACAGGUCUAUGCAAAACCGAAAGGUGAGGUAUAUGGGCUGACGCCUGCCCGGUGCUGGAAGGUUAAGGGGAGAGGUUAGCGCAAGCGAAGCUUUGAACUUAAGCCCCAGUAAACGGCGGCCGUAACAAUAACGGUCCUAAGGUAGCGAAAUUCCUUGUCGGGUAAGUUCCGACCCGCACGAAAGGCGUAAUGAUUUGGGCACUGUCUCACCAAUGCACCCGGUGAAAUUGAAAUACCAGUGAAGAUGCUGGUUACCUGCGCCAGGACGGAAAGACCCCAUGGAGCUUUACUCCAGCUUGAUACUGGGAUUCGGUAUUGCAUGUACAGGAUAGGUGGGAGGCUAGGAAAUGGUAACGCCAGUUGCCAUGGAGCCAAUGUUGGGAUACCACCCUUGCAGUACUGGGUUUCUAACCAGCAGCCGUGAUCCGGCUGGGGGACAAUGUCAGGUGGGGAGUUUGACUGGGGCGGUCGCCUCCGAAAGGGUAUCGGAGGCGCUCAAAGGUUCCCUCAGAAUGGUUGGAAACCAUUCGAAGAGUGCAAAGGCAGAAGGGAGCUUGACUGCGACACCGACGGGUGGAGCAGGUACGAAAGUAGGACUUAGUGAUCCGGUGGUAUAAAGUGGGAUUGCCAUCGCUCAACGGAUAAAAGCUACCCUGGGAUAACAGGCUUAUCACUCCCAAGAGUUCACAUCGACGGAGUGGUUUGGCACCUCGAUGUCGGCUCAUCGCAUCCUGGGGCUGAAGUAGGUCCCAAGGGUUGGGCUGUUCGCCCAUUAAAGCGGUACGCGAGCUGGGUUCAGAACGUCGUGAGACAGUUCGGUCCCUAUCCGGCGUGGGCGUAAGAUAUUUGAGAGGAGCUGUCCUUAGUACGAGAGGACCGGGAUGGACUGGCCGCUGGUGUAUCUGUUGUCUUACCAAAGGCAUAGCAGAGUAGCCAAGCCGGGAAGGGAUAAACGCUGAAGGCAUCUAAGCGUGAAGCCCCCCUCAAGAUGAGAUAUCUCAUAACGUCAAGUUAGUAAGACCCCUUGAAGACGACGAGGUAGAUAGGGCAGAGGUGGAAGUGUGUAACACAUGGAGCUGACUGUUACUAAUAGGUCGAGGGCAUAACC
rnacentral:rRNA from 1 species